rnacentral:rRNA from 1 species
CCUGGUUGAUCCUGCCAGUAGUCAUAUGCUUGUCUCAAAGAUUAAGCCAUGCAUGUCUAAGUGCAUGCCAAAUUAAGGUGAAACCGCGAAUGGCUCAUUAAAUCAGUUAUGGUUCCUUAGAUCGUACCCACAUUUACUUGGAUAACUGUGGUAAUUCUAGAGCUAAUACAUGCAAACCAGAGUUCCGACCAGAGAUGGAAGGAACGCUUUUAUUAGAUCAAAACCAAUCGGUGGCGGGCUUUGCUCGUCCACCGUUUACUUUGGUGACUCUGAAUAACUUUGUGCUGAUCGCACGGUCUCGUACCGGCGACGCAUCUUUCAAAUGUCUGCCUUAUCAACUGUCGAUGGUAGGUUCUGCGCCUACCAUGGUUGUAACGGGUAACGGGGAAUCAGGGUUCGAUUCCGGAGAGGGAGCCUGAGAAACGGCUACCACAUCCAAGGAAGGCAGCAGGCGCGCAAAUUACCCACUCCCGGCACGGGGAGGUAGUGACGAAAAAUAACGAUACGGGACUCAUCCGAGGCCCCGUAAUCGGAAUGAGUACACUUUAAAUCCUUUAACGAGGAUCAAUUGGAGGGCAAGUCUGGUGCCAGCAGCCGCGGUAAUUCCAGCUCCAAUAGCGUAUAUUAAAGUUGUUGCGGUUAAAAAGCUCGUAGUUGAAUCUGUGUCGCACGCUGUCGGUUCGCCGCUCGCGGUGUUUAACUGACAUGCUCGUGAGACGUCCUACCGGUGGGCUUAGCUCCUUCGGGGGCGGGCCAACUAAUAUCCCAUCGCGGUGCUCUUUAUUGAGUGUCGAGGUGGGCCGGUACGUUUACUUUGAACAAAUUAGAGUGCUUAAAGCAGGCUAUCAUUUGCCUGAAUAUUCUGUGCAUGGAAUAAUGGAAUAGGACCUCGGUUCUAUUUUGUUGGUUUUAAGAAACCCGAGGUAAUGAUUAAUAGGGACAGAUGGGGGCAUUCGUAUUGCGACGUUAGAGGUGAAAUUCUUGGAUCGUCGCAA